rnacentral:lncRNA from 1 species
AUGUAUUUGGUGUUUGCAAUGAAAAUUCAGUAUUUUUAUAAUUCUAAUAAAUUUUCCUUCUUGUGGAACAGAUGGAAUGACACUGUGACAGAGUCUCCAGAUCCCCUUUGGCAUAGCUAUCAAGUUGGGCUGGUACAAGGUCCAUGGAUGAGCACCGACAAGGGAGUCUCCAUUGGAAUCUCUGUUGCUGUCUUGGUAGUAUUGCUCAUAUUUGUGGUAUUCUGGAUUAACAAAAGUAAGUCACCUCAGGACUGUGCCCACAGGAGUAUUCUUGAGCCAAACGACCUGUAGCCCUAUAUUCCAUAUGAUUUUGGUUUCACGUAAUUUCCUUGGUUCUUACCUUGUUCUUUUUUAUUUUUAUUUAUCUUAAAAUUAUCUUCCCAGUGAAGAGAAACAUGAUACUUAAGUUCUCCAUGGGAGAAAUUAAAUAUGGAGAAUUAAACAUUGGUUAGGUAGAGUUGGGAUUUGGAUAUCAACAAACCAGUGUAAUAUACAAGAUUUGUUCACUCCUCCUUUUCCCCUUCCUUCAAUAACCAAUUUUUGUUCCUAUAGGGAGUGAAAUUGCUGAGAGUUUUACAAUACCCACUUAACAGAGGAACCAAAUGAGCCAUUGGGAGGAUACAUGAUUUCAGGGCUAAGAAGAGAACAAAGGGUUUCACAAGGCAGCCACCUAGGGCCUCCUGGUGUCCUUCCACCAGUGUGUGUGUGUGUGUGUGUGUGUGUGUGUGUAAAACCUGUCAUCUAUAGGAGAAACACAACCUCCCAUUUUUUUACAGUGAAAUAUGACUAUAUUAAAGUAAGCUAGGGCAUGUGGGUGAAUGCAUUAACCCUAAUAAUCAUAAGACACUUUCCACUAAGGGGUUUAUUUGGCUCCUAGAGAUUCAAGAAAAGUUAUCUGAAGUUAUUAGGGAAGAGCCCAGAUUGAUUUGUUUCCCCUUCAUUUUAAAAAUAUUCUUUCCUCUUAAUUAAUUUUUUCAGUGUCUGAUAUCUGUACCUAUUUUUCUCAUAUUAAGGUAAUAACAGUAAUAAUAUACUUAUUGGGGAAAAAAAUCUCAUGAACUCUUUAGCUUAUAUGUUUAAUUUUCUCUUCAUUUCUUAUCCAGUUUAGAAUAUCUUUGCCUGGGUAACAAGAUGGAGCUACUAUGGUAAGUUUGAAAGAGUUUGUGUCAAUGCCUUUUGGUAUUCUUAUUAAAAAUAAGGAAAAUGUCUCUGUCCCUCUCUUUUCCUUCUGACUUCUCCAUUUUAUACUCUCGAUUCUGAAAAAUCUAGUAUAUAGAGAAUCUCCAUUGCUGUCUAACCUUCCAGUAAUGAUUUCAGUGAUGUGAUGAGAAUACAUCUCUGUGUUUUCUGCACAUGUGCCAGAACAGUACAGAAACGGCACCUGAAACGAGACCUUUUAGAGCAAGAGAACUAAACUGCAGAUUUUGUUUCACGGGCCAUUUGAGUGGGUUGUUUGGUUUGUUAUUUGAUUUAAUUCAUUGCUCUGUUUAUUGCAUGUCUAUUGAGUCCCUAUUAUAUUCCAAAGAGAUGAGCAGAACAGACUGAAAACAUGUAAAUGAAUAAGAAGGGCACUUACAGGACUUCCAGAGACAUACCAUGGGGAAUACAGAGCAGGGCAGUAGGCUAUGUGAGUGAGCCCCAAGGGAGCAGGAGGCAGCUCUGCAAAGAUCUGGAGGAGGACACCUCCAGGCUGAAGACCCACAAAGCUGGGACUUGCCUCCAGCUGUCCAAGGUCUCACUAUCCCCUAUUGUUCCAUACCCAGCCUGCUGUGCUCAACUACAUUAGUUGUGUGGCCUGAAAACCAUUUGACUUUACAGUUGUGUAAAUCUACCCCACGGCCCAAUAAAAAGUUAAAUCCUCUUUGUAUACA